CCUACGGGGUGCAGCAGUGGGGGAUAUUGCACAAUGGGGGGAACCCUGAUGCAGCGACGCCGCGUGGGUGAAGGAGUGCUUCGGCAUGUAAAGCCCUAUCGGCAGGGAAGAAGCAAGACGGUACUUGACUAAGAAGCCCCGGAUAAUUACGUGCCAGCAGCUGCGGUAAGACGUAGGGGGCGAGCGUUAUCCGGAUUCACUGGGGGUAAAGGGAGCGUAGACGGCAAUGCAAGCCAGGAGGGAAAGCCCGGGGCCCAACCCCGGGACUGCCCUUGGAACUGCAUGACUGGAGUGCGGGAGAGGCAGGCGGAAUUCCUGGUGUAGCGGUGAAAUGCGUAGAUAUCAGGAGGAACACCAGCGGCGAAGGCGGCCUGCUGGACCGCAACUGACGUUGAGGCUCGAAAGCGUGGGGAGCGAACAGGAUUAGAUACCCCAGUAGUC
rnacentral:rRNA from 1 species